AAUAUUUGACAAUGGGGGCAACCCUGAUCUAGCCAUACCACGUGUGUGAAGAAGUUCUUCGGAUUGUAAAGCACUUUACUUUGGGCGGAAUGGCUUUAGCCUAAUACCCUGAAGUUUUUACGUUACCAACCGAAUAAGCACCGGCUAACUUCGUGCCAGCGUCCGCGUUAAUACGAAGGGUGCAAGCGUUAAUCGGAAUUACUGGGCGUAAAGCGCGCGUAGGUGGUGUGUUAAGUUGGAAGUGAAAGCCCCGGGCUCAACCUGGGAACUGCUUUAAAAACUGGCAAGCUAGAGUAUGGCAGAGGGUGGUGGAAUUUCCUGUGUAGCGGUGAAAUGCGUAGAUAUAGGAAGGAACACCAGUGGCGAAGGCGACCACCUGGGCUAAUACUGACACUGAGGUGCGAAAGCGUGGGGAGCAAACA
rnacentral:rRNA from 1 species